rnacentral:rRNA from 1 species
ACGAACGCUGGCGGCGUGCCUAAUACAUGCAAGUCGCACGAGAAAGUCCUUCGGGAUGAGUAGAGUGGCGCACGGGUGAGUAAUGCAUAGGAACGUACCUUUUGGUGGGGGAUAACCACGGGAAACUGUGGCUAAUACCGCAUGAUAUCGUGAGAUCAAAGCAGGCCUCUGUUUACAAGCUUGCGCCAAUAGAGCGGCCUAUGUCCCAUUAGCUAGUUGGUAGGGUAAUGGCCUACCAAGGCGACGAUGGGUAGCUGGUCUGAGAGGAUGAUCAGCCACACUGGGACUGAGACACGGCCCAGACUCCUACGGGAGGCAGCAGUAGGGAAUUUUGCACAAUGGGCGCAGGCCUGAUGCAGCAACGCCGCGUGAGUGAAGAAGGCUCUUGGGUUGUAAAGCUCUUUCGGCUGGGAAGAAGGGAUAGGCUGCGAACAGUUACCUAUUCUGACGGUACCAGAAGAAGAAGCACCUGCUAACUACGU